rnacentral:lncRNA from 1 species
ACUCGGGCUGGCGCCGGUCUACCUAGGCAGGCGUGGGACCUGUCGGGGGCUUCACGGCAGCGCGGAAGGCCAGCCUGCAGAGAGGCUGGGCCCAGCGCCCUGACUGACCCAGCCCCGCCACGUCCAAGGUUCCCGCCCUCUGGAGGAAGCCGCGCAAUCACUCCGGGGGCGGGGAGAGACAGACAACUGAGAGGAAGGAGGUACCACGGGCACUCUCUCGCGAGAGGGCCGCAGAGCCGCCUUUGACGGGGGCGUGUACCUGGAGAGCAACGGAGGGAAUCUGAAGAUUUAAGGACAAAGAGCAGUUGAAAACUCAGAGCUGUGGUUAAUGGGAGAAUUUCAAGGAUGGUGAAAAAAACUAACAUCAUUGCAUCCCUGUUUUUUGUAUUCUGGACUUUUUAGUUUAGCUCUUGCUCUUGACAAAAUUCUCAGGGAAAACUCUUCAGCUCUGGAUGUCUCCCUUUUUGUGGAUCAAACACAAAGGGCAUCAUUCUAAAAUAUAUACAGAACCAUAAAAGCCCCAAAUAGCCAAAGCAACCCUGAGCAAAAAGAACAAGGCUGGAAGCAUCACACUACCAGACUUCAAAAUUUACUACAAAGCUCUAAUACCUAAAAUAACAUGGUACUGGCAUUAAAAAAAAAAAAAAAAUAGGCACAUAGACCACCAAUGAAACAGUAUAGAGAAUCUAGAUAUACCAACUCAUCUUUAACAAAGGUGCCAAGAACAUACAAUGAGGAAACGAUGGUCUUUUCAAUAAAUGGUGUGGGGGAAAGCUAGAUAACUAUAUGCAGAAGAAUGAAACAAGAUUCCUCUCUCUCGCUAUACACAAAAAUCAAAUCAAAAUGGAUUAAAGGCUUAAAUCUAAGACCUGAAACUACAAAACUAGAAGAACACACUGGAGAAGUGCUCCAGGACCUUGGUCUGGGAAAAGAUUUUUUUGUUUAAGACCUCAAAAGCACAGACAACAAAGCAAAAACAGACAAAUGAGAUUACAUUAAGCUAAAAAGUUUCUGCACAGCAAAGGAAACACUCAACAGAGUGGGGGAGACAACCCACAGAAUGAGAGAAAACAUUUUCAAACUAUCCAUCCGACAAGGGAUUAAUGACCAGAAUAAAGAGACCAAACAAUUUAAGCCAAAAACAAAACAAACAAACACACAAAAAAAACAAAAGCCAAAUAAUCUAAAAAGUGGGCAGGUUGGGUGGGGUGGCUCAAGCCUAUAAUCCCAGCACUUUGGGAGGCCAAGGCAGGCAGGUCAAGAGAUCGAGACCAUCCUGGCCAACAUGGUGAAACCCCAUCUCUACUGAAAAUACAAAAAAAAUUAGCCGGGUGUGGUGGCAUGUGCCUGUAGUCCCAGCUACUUGGGAAGCUGAGGCAGUGAGAAUCGCUUGAACCUGGGAGGCAGAGGUUGCAGUGAACCAAGAUCACACAACUGCACUCCAGCCUGAUGACAGAGCGAGACUCCAUCUUGAAAAAAAAAAAAAAAAAAGUGGGCAAAAGAUCCAAACAGACAUUUCUCAAAGGAAGACAUAAAAAUGGCCAACAGGUAUAUGAAAAAAUGCUCAACAUUACUAAUCAUUAGAGAAAUGCAAAUUAAAACAACAUGUUAUUUCACCCCAGUUAAAAUGGCUUGUAUUAAGAAAACAGAUAAUAACAGAUGCUAGUGAGGAUGUGGAGAAAAGAGAACCCUCAUACACUGUUGGUAGAAAUGUAAACUAGUACAACCACUAUGAAGAACAGUAUGGAAGUUCUUCAAAAAACUAAAAAUAGAAUUACCAUAUGAUCCAGCAAUUCCACUACUGAAUAUGUAUCCAAAAGAAAGGAAAUCCGUAUAUCAAAAAGAUAUCUGCACUCCCAUGUUUAUUGCAGCAUUGUUCACAAUAGCCAAGAUAUGGAAUUAACCUAAGUGCCCAUCAAUGGGUGAAUGGAUAAAGUGUGGUAUGUAUGCACAAUGAAAUAUUAAUCAGCCAUAAAAAAUAAUGAAACCCUCUCAUUUGCAGCAACAUGGAUGAUACUGGCGACCACUAUGUUAAAUAAGCCAAGUACAUAAAGACAAAUAUUGCAUGUUGUCAGUCAUACAUGGGAGCUAAAAAUGUGGAUUUCAUGAUGACACAGAGUACAUUGGUGGUUACCAGAAGCCAGAAAGGAGGGGAUGGAGUAGGGGAUGAAGGGGGAAAAAGGAUAUAAGUGUACUUAUUACCACUGAACUGUACACUUAAAAUGGUAAAGAUGGUAUGUUAUGUAUUACCUCAGUUUACAAAAGAAAAAACAAAUGGCAUCAACGUUAAUAAGUGUAAAAGUUGUACUAGGGAUAAAUCCGCCAUUUAAAAGGGAAAUUAGAAAUCUGAAAUAAUGAGUGCAGUUAGACUCUGAAACCCUUGAAGUCCCCAAAAGUCUCAUUCAGAACUGGUCCCAAAAUGAAUACGUACUUUUGUAUCAUUGUCUAAUUAAAGCUGCUUUUUUCAAGUAUUAGUUUGCUUCAAAAUUAAUCUUUUUAUUUGUACUAUUA